GAUGAAGGAGAAAGGCCCCUCAGCGGCACCUUCACACUCCUACGCAACCCCACAAAAAGUGAGGGGAGGACCCUCACUCUGAAAAGAGGAGGGAAAUUAAAGAGGAAGAGCGACGAGCUACGUCGAAAACAGAUGAAGGACAAGCCACACCAAAGACCUAAGGAACCUUAUCUCAACAAAGAUGGGAAGUUCCUACCAAACACCCCC
rnacentral:lncRNA from 1 species